CACACUAUAUCCACUCUCUUGCACCUCUGCUGUAUUUAAUUAUCGCCGAGCAGCAGCAUAGCACCUAGCAGGGAACUGAGGAAGAGAAGACUAUCCUGAAAGCCAAAUUCAGUCACGCACCGCAUAACAUUUUGGUCAAGGAUGGACACUAUGUAUGACAGUGGUCCCAUAAGAUUAGUACCAGAGAGCCUAGAAAUACUGUAUAUGUUUGAAGCCUCACCCGUCUUCCUUCACUACCAGAGGUAGCCACAUUCCCAGGCCCCCGUGGGCAUCAUUUUCACAGAGCCCCGCCCUCACUCCAAGAGGCUAAACAGAAUACAGCCCGGGCCGCGUCGGCCUUGGCUAGGCUCCGGCCGCUGAAAACUUACUCAGCUCAGUGCUGUCGAUCAACAGCGAGGAGGGAAAGGCAAGGAGGUGCCCAAAGGCGAUUUCAAUUUCUUGUCAUUGCGGUGAGUCGUAGCGGCUGGGGUCCGAUCGCCGAGAUGGGCGUGGCCGCGUGACGUCACAGAGCUGGCCCGUGGCCAGAACUCAAACUUUGAUGAAGGCGCCGGGGUCCAAGUCGGACGAGAAGCGUCCCUAGCGACAGCCAGAGACGGGGCUUCGGGGUCACCGCACCCGAAUGCGAAUCGUUUUGGAAAUGAAUUCAGCCGUUGGUAGCUGCCAGUGGAGACUUGAGGCGCUCAGCAUCCGAUGGGUCGAGGGGGAGGCCAGUGUAUGUCUGUGGAGAGGCAUGAGGCUGAAGGUUUGGAGAACGUGUGUCCCUGGAGAGUAGGUAGGUUGCGUCUCAGAUGUUGACUGCUGGGAACAGACGAUGAUACCUUCAUCCAGCUGAUCCGAAUUCACUUCACUCCUUCAAGCCCGUGUCUUCCUCAAGGGACCCUUUGGGGAAAGUGGCCCCAAGUGGAAGAGUCACUUCUCUGGAUUUGAGGUUUUCCCAGAUCUCAGCCCAGUACUUUCAAAGAGUCAAAUGAAGUAAGGAGAAGACAGUUCCAGGACCAGGAGAGCAUCAUUUUUGGGGAUACUGUUAACUUGAAUUGUAAGAUCUAUGACCAGAAUUUCAGCGACAAUCUAGAAGGGUAAAAUCACAGAGAUCCCAGUUACUGGCCGUUUUCUCAGAAUGGAAUAAAAUGACCAAG